rnacentral:rRNA from 1 species
GUCGAGGGGUAUGUUCUUCGGAACUAGAGACCGGCGCACGGGUGCGUAACGCGUAUGCAAUCUACCUUUUACAGAGGGAUAGCCCAGAGAAAUUUGGAUUAAUACCUCAUAGUAUUAUGAAAUGGCAUCAUUUUAUAAUUAAAGUCACAACGGUAAAAGAUGAGCAUGCGUCCCAUUAGCUAGUUGGUAAGGUAACGGCUUACCAAGGCUACGAUGGGUAGGGGUCCUGAGAGGGAGAUCCCCCACACUGGUACUGAGACACGGACCAGACUCCUACGGGAGGCAGCAGUGAGGAAUAUUGGACAAUGGGCGCAAGCCUGAUCCAGCCAUGCCGCGUGCAGGAUGACGGUCCUAUGGAUUGUAAACUGCUUUUAUACAGGAAGAAACCCUGGUUCGUGAACCAGCUUGACGGUACUGUAAGAAUAAGGAUCGGCUAACUCCGUGCCAGCAGCCGCGGUAAUACGGAGGAUCCAAGCGUUAUCCGGAAUCAUUGGGUUUAAAGGGUCCGUAGGCGGUUUAAUAAGUCAGUGGUGAAAGCCCAUCGCUCAACGGUGGAACGGCCAUUGAUACUGUUAAACUUGAAUUAUUAGGAAGUAACUAGAAUAUGUAGUGUAGCGGUGAAAUGCUUAGAGAUUACAUGGAAUACCAAUUGCGAAGGCAGGUUACUACUAAUAUAUUGACGCUGAUGG